rnacentral:ncRNA from 2 species
UCAAAUAUUCAGGGGAGCUUGUCUACAGCAAGCUGAGAGGAAGUUUUACACUUCGACCCUUUAACCUGAUGUGGGCAAUGCCACCGUAGGGAGUAAGGAAAUACUUGCU